rnacentral:rRNA from 1 species
UCAUCGAGUCUUUGAACGCACGUUGCGCCUAUUGGUAUUCCAUUAGGCAUGUCUGUUUGAGCGUCAUUACAACCCCUCAGCGCAAGCUGGUUUUGAGCCGGUCAGUCGUAAAAAGCCGACCGGUUUUAAAGUUGUAAGCUCUGCUGGCUGCUACGCCCAACCAAAAACAUAGUAAACUUUUGCUUGUUUGAAGGUGAGGCUUGCAGGUUUAACCGGCCUGAACAAAACCUACUAUUUCUAAGGUUUGACCUCAGAUCAGACRAGGAUACCCGCUGAACUUAAGCAUAUCAAUAAGCGGAGGAAAAGAAACCAACAGGGAUUGCCUCAGUAACGGCGAGUGAAGCGGCAAAAGCUCAAAUUUGAAAUCUGGAGCCUUCGGCUUCCGAGUUGUAAUUUGAAGAGGAUGUUUCGGUCGCGGCUUGRGCCCAAGUUCCUUGGAACAGGACGUCAUGGAGGGUGAGAAUCCCGUACGUGGCUACCGGCUUGCUUCUAUGUGAAACUCCUUCGAAGAGUCGAGUUGUUUGGGAAUGCAGCUCAAAAUGGGUGGUAAAUUUCAUCUAAAGCUAAAUAUUGGCGAGAGACCGAUAGCGCACAAGUAGAGUGAUCGAAAGAUGAAAAGCACUUUGAAAAGAGAGUUAAACAGUACGUGAAAUUGUUGAAAGGGAAGCGCUUGCAAUCAGACUCGCUUUCGGUUGAUCAACGUUCCUUUUGGUUCGUGCACUCUGCCGUUUGCGGGCCAGCAUCAGUUGAAGCGGUGGGACAAAGGUUUUGGGAAUGUGGCUCCCUCGGGAGUGUUAUAGCCCUUUUCGUAAUGCCACCUGU